CUAAAAAUAAAAAAAUCUCAUUUCCAGUCCGCAGCCUCGACUCCUUGCUGUGACAGAAUCAGAGAGCAGCAACUCUUGGCUCGCACCACCACCGGCCUCCUUCUCCUCCACCUCCCCAAGCAUUAAAAAACUUAAAAACAGAACAACCUUUCCAUUUUUAGUAACCCCAUCGUCUCUCUCCUCCGACACAUAUACUCCAACCUCAUCUCCCCUUUCCGUUUUUAGUAACUUUCACACCCCCUCUUAAAUUUCCUCAUCUUGCUCCAGAUUUCUUGGCCUCUAACAAUCCUAGCUGAGUUUCGAGGAGAUUGAGAUUUUUAGUAAAUUGCGCCAGCUUUGGGGACUGCACAAUUCUGGGCGUCAUCUUGUUGAGGAUUGAAGGGCAGUGAGAUUUUGCUCUGUGAGUAGUGUUGGCACUGCAAUAUUUCAAAGGGGAAGUUUGGGGUCUUUGGUGAAAUUGAGUUGUUUGUGCUUGUUAUAAGGUAAGAAAAGUAAGUUUAGAAAAGGGGAUUUCUUUGGUAGCGCUGAUAAAGUUGUUAAAAGUGAAACGUUUAUGGAUUUGAGAAUAAAAAUUAAGGGUCUUCAUCAGCAAAUGAGAGAAGAUAGCAGGAGGGAAUUUCUGGGAAUGGUUUUCUAACGUUUUCUUGCUUCACUGGGUAGAGUUGUUGGUUAGAUAAAAUAAAAUGGAAAACCCCUUCUCAUUGAAAGAUAAGGGGACUGGUUAUUGGACUUCGCCCAGAGCACAGACAGAUGGUAUGGCUCCAUCAGAUGGUGGUGCAAGGAAUUCAAUUUCAGAGGACCCAUUCAACCAUUUUUCCGAGAUAAUGAAUUUUGAUACAUACGCUGGUUGGUGCAACAGCCCAUCAGCAACAGACCAGAUGUUUGCCUCCUAUGGGUUAUCGUCUCUCCAGUCAACACCCUAUGCAUCUUUUGAUUUAUUAAGUUUUGCGGAACAGAAUUCUCCAACCUCUCUUUUAGGCAGUGUAUUAAAUGCUGCUGGGACUUCUUACAAUUCUGGAGACAAAAUGGCAUUUCAGCAAGCGGAUUCCCAAUUUAGUUAUGCAUCAGAUUUAAUGGAUGCUGAUGAUUUGGGUGCCAAACAAAGUAAUGGUUCUCAGCAACAGAGCGAUUUCUUGGAUAUGGAUAAUUGUAUGAUUUCUAGACCCAUUGGGUUCUCACUUGAUGAAAAGAUGUUAAGGGCAUUAUCCUUGUUGAAAGAAUCUGCUGGUGAUGGCAUUUUGGCACAAGUUUGGGUUCCAAUGAGGCACAGAGAUCAAUAUAUCAUGACCACUUUUGAGCAACCGUACUUACUUGACCAAAUUCUGGCAGGUUAUCGUGAAGUUUCGAGGACAUAUACAUUCUCUGCAGAAGUGAAGCCUGACCUUCCCCUAGGCCUUCCUGGUCGUGUGUUCAUCUCUAAAGUUCCAGAAUGGACUUCAAAUGUAGUUUAUUAUAGGAAUACUGAGUACUUGCGAGCAAAGCACGCACGCCACCAUAAGGUCCAAGGAUCUAUUGCCUUGCCGAUCUUUGAACCUCCUGAGAUGUCCUGUUGUGCUGUACUGGAACUUGUCACAAUUAAGGAGAAACCUAAUUUUGAUUCAGAAAUGGAAAAUGUUUGCCUCGCCCUCCAGGCUGUAAAUUUAAGAACCACUGCACCUCCUCGACUUCUUCCUCAGAGCCUCUCAGGGAAUCAAAGAGCUGCCUUAACGGAAAUAACUGAUGUUUUACGAGCUGUAUGUCAUGCACAUAGCUUACCACUAGCUCUAACAUGGAUUCCUUGCAAUUAUAUGGAGGAAGCUGUUGAUGAAAUAAUUAAAGUGCGUGUCAGGGAAGGUAAUUCAAGGUCUACUGGGAAAUUUGUGCUAUGCAUUGAGGGUACAGCUUGUUAUGUGAAUGAUAGAGAAAUGCAAGGAUUUGUACAUGCAUGUUCAGAACAUUAUAUUGAGGAAGGACAAGGUAUAGCUGGAAAAGCACUUCAAUCAAAUCACCCUUUCUUCUUCCCUGACGUGAAGGCGUAUGAUAUAAUUGAAUACCCACUUGUCCAUCAUGCACGCAAGUAUGGUCUGAAUGCUGCAGUUGCAAUCAGGCUAAGAAGCACUUAUACUGGUGAUGACGAUUAUAUAUUAGAGUUCUUUCUUCCUGUCAAUAUGAAGGGGAGUUCGGAACAGCAACUUUUGUUGAACAACCUCUCAGGUACCAUGCAGAGAAUCUGUAAAAGUUUGAGAACAGUUUCAGAUGCAGAGUUAGCAGGGGGAGAAGGUUCUAAAGUUGAGUCUCAGAAGGGAGCAAUAACCAGCUUUCCACCAAUGUCUGUUUCAAUGAGUAACUCUCAAACCACAUUAUCUGCGGCCAACUUAAAUUUGACCGACAAAAUACCUUCCGAUGCAGCUGGGUCCAAAUAUGAUGGAAUGGAAUCAGAUGGUCCUCAUGAACAGGUGAUGAAUAGAUCAAGGAGGCAGCUGGAGAAGAAGAGGAGUACAGCAGAGAAAAAUGUGAGCUUGAGCGUCCUUCAGCAAUACUUUUCUGGAAGUCUCAAGGAUGCUGCCAAAAGCAUUGGUGGUGAGCUUCAUCUCAUCUGUUCACGUGUUGGUGUUGAAUAUGGAAACAACUGCAGAUACACUCAUAUUUUUAAAUAAACAUUGAUAUUUUCAUGUAAAAUCAUUUACUCAUUUAAUAAAGUUCUUCCUGGAAUUGGUGGAGGUUAAUGGUUCAAACCCAAAUGGUGUCAGUAAUUAGUAAGGAAGUGAUAGUGAUGACCUUAAGUAGUGCAACUUUUAGGCCCCCUUUUCAAAUUAUCCUUUUAAUGUAGUAUAGAAUUUUUACUAAUUUAUUUAGAAGAAUCUGUAAUUUAACUUCCGAAUUUCUUGUCUUUUCAUUAGUUUGCCCCACAACACUGAAAAGGAUAUGCAGACAACAUGGGAUCUCUAGAUGGCCAUCCCGCAAGAUAAAUAAGGUGAACCGCUCAUUGAGGAAAAUACAGACCGUGCUUGACUCUGUUCAGGGAGUGGAGGGAGGACUAAAAUUUGACCCUAGCACAGGGGGAUUUGUGGCGGCAGGCUCCAUUGUCCAGGAAAAAAGCUUUCUAUUUCCUGACAAAAAACUUCCCUCUAGAAAUUCUGAAUCCGCCACUGAAGAUGCAGUUUCUGUACCUGCAGCUCAUAUUGAUGGCAAUAAUUCUUCAGUUAAAGUUGAAGAAGAUGAAUGCUGUGUGGAUGCAUGUGGGGAACUGCUAAUUAAAUCUAGCGCUUGUGUCAUUGAUUGUAGUGAAGAUUCCAAAUUGAUAUCAACAGAUGCUGGAAUAUGUCAAAAGGGUAGCGGUGGCUGUGGACCUUGGGCUGCUAUGGAUAAUUCCUCUACAUUUGCAAAAGGAGGGAAGGGAAGUCUUAACACUGGAAGCGUGAAACUAGACAAUUCGGACACUCAUUUUGUGUGUAGAAGCUCAAGCUCCCUGGGUGCUACUGAGGAGUUGGAUGCCAAAGUGGAGGGUGAUGAUGGAAUGGUUGAACAUAACUGGCCUACUUGUUCGAGCAUGACUGAGUCUUCAAAUGGCUCUGGUUCAAUGAUUCAUGGCAGUGCAUCAAGCUCACCAAGCUAUGAGGAGGAGAAGCAUUCAAAAGUCAAAUGUGAUGAUCAUGGAUCGAAAAUUACUGUGAAAGCCACAUAUAAGGAAGAUACAAUUAGAUUUAAGUUUGAGCCUUCUGCAGGGUGUUUCCAAUUGUAUGAAGAAAUUGCAAAAAGGUUCAAAUUGCAAAAUGGAACAUUCCAGCUAAAGUAUCUUGAUGAUGAAGAAGAGUGGGUGAUGCUGGUGAGUGACUCUGACUUGCAGGAGUGUGUUGAGAUACUGGAUUAUAUUGGAAAACGAAGUGUGAAGUUCCUUGUUCGUGACGUAGCUUUUACAAUGGGCAGCUCGGGCAGCAGCAGUUGCUUCUUAGGAGGAAGCUCCUAGCACUUCAGGUGAUGGCUCAACCAACAGUCUAGCUGAAGCGGUAGCAAUUGCAGUUUUCUGAGUGCUCAUUAAGCUUUCCAAGUUUGCAUGAUUCUGGUUUCUACUAAAAGUUGAUGUUGUACUAUGAAGGUUGCAAGGGAAGUGUAAGAUGGCCAAAAUUUCUCAGCAGCACAUCCAAAAAUUUUCAGAACCAAUCAAAGGAGGUGACACCUUUGUUUAUGGGCGAAUAUAUGACCGGUGGUUCAAAACAGUGAGACUGAAAGUUCAGCAGCUUUUUUCUCUGAUUGGUUAUUAUAGUUCCAGGGAUGGAGGAAAAGACAGGAAAUAAAGCAGAUUCAGAAGUUCCAUAGCUCAUUAGAUGUUAGAUAUAUAGGCUUGUACAUGCUAGUUGUAGCCAAAAAUGCUUGUAGCCGUAGAAAUCCUUGAAGCACUGUAUUCUAUGUUCUAGUCUGUACAGUAAUUUACAUAUUAAUUAAUUGGAGAAAAUAGGAAAAGUUUUAAUAUAAAUUAAU
rnacentral:misc_RNA from 1 species